UAAGCGGAGGAAAAGAAACUAACAAGGAUUCCCCUAGUAACUGCGAGUGAAGCGGGAAAAGCUCAAAUUUGGAAUCUGGUGGUCUUUGGCCAUCCGGGUUGUAAUUUAGAGAAGCGUCUUCCGCGCUGGACCGUGCACAAGUCUCCUGGAAUGGAGCGUCAUAGAGGGUGAGAAUCCCGUCUUUGGCAUGGAAUCCCAGGGCUUCUGUGAUGCGCUCUCGACGAGUCGAGUUGUUUGGGAAUGCAGCUCAAAGUGGGUGGUGAACUCCAUCUAAAGCUAAAUAUUGGCGAGAGACCGAUAGCGAACAAGUACCGUGAGGGAAAGAUGAAAAGCACUUUGGAAAGAGAGUGAAACAGUACGUGAAAUUGUUGAAAGGGAAACGCUUGAAGUCAGUCGCGUCGACCGAGACUCAGCCUUGCCUCGGCUUGGUGUACUUCUCGGCUUGACGGGUCAGCAUCGAUUUCAAUCCUCGGAUAAUGGCAAGGGAAAGGUAGCACCUUCUUAGGUGUGUUAUAGUCCUCUGUCGCAUGCGAGGGUCGGGAUCGAGGAACUCAGCACGCACCUCAGGGUGUCGGGGCCUUGGCCCACGUUUACGUGCUUAGGAUGCUGGCGUAAUGGCUUUAAACGACC
rnacentral:rRNA from 1 species